ACGAUGUGCGGCAGCAGUGGGGAAUAUUGGACAAUGGGCGAAAGCCUGAUCCAGCCAUGCCGCGUGUGUGAAGAAGGCCUUCGGGUUGUAAAGCACUUUCAGUGGGGAAGAAAGCCUUGGGGCUAAUACCCUCGAGGAAGGACAUCACCCACAGAAGAAGCACCGGCUAACUCCGUGCCAGCAGCCGCGGUAAUACGGAGGGUGCGAGCGUUAAUCGGAAUUACUGGGCGUAAAGCGCGCGUAGGCGGUCUGAUAAGCCGGUUGUGAAAGCCCCGGGCUCAACCUGGGAACGGCAUCCGGAACUGUCAGGCUAGAGUGCAGGAGAGGAAGGUAGAAUUCCCGGUGUAGCGGUGAAAUGCGUAGAGAUCGGGAGGAAUACCAGUGGCGAAGGCGGCCUUCUGGACUGACACUGACGCUGAGGUGCGAAAGCGUGGGUAGCAAACAGGAUUAGAUACCGAGUAGUC
rnacentral:rRNA from 1 species